GUGAGACGGGCGCGUUUCCACUGCAGGGUGCAGUACGGUUCGGUUCACAAAGGUGCGGUACGGAUUGCACUUCCACCGCCAAAAGUGGGCGUGACCCGGACUGAGCCGUACUGGUUUUGCCCUCGUCUUCAGUACUCUUCCGUUGGGGUACUGAGACGCCUGAAAGGGUGCCGGAAAAUUCGAGCUACACACCCCCUCCGUUGAUUGGUCGACACAAUCGUCACUACCGGGCGACGUGGGGAUAAAAACAAACAAACAGUAGCCUCGAGGUAUUUUUCUUUACAAUGAACAUCAGUGUUUCCCCUAGAAUUUUUUUUUAGGCCCGGUGGUAAGAGCUGAUAGUGUGAUUUUUUUUUAUACAUUUUUCACGGGAUGCCAGAGUAUUUGUUGGUUAUUUCCAUGUAAAACACUUGCUUAGCCAUCACAAGUUGAUAAUGAUUCAAUAAACACGUUAGUAACAAUUAACUAAUUUUAUUUACAAUACAAUUUUUGGUGCCGGUACAAAUUUAGUGUGACAGUGCCAUGCUAAUGAUGAUAUUAAUGGUGUCAGAUUGUCCGUUAUGAUGGGGCAUAAUCUGCGCACGCGCGACACCGCAUUAUUAUUAUUUUUUUCAUUUUUUCAUUUUUUUUAUUUUUAUUUUCAUUUUUUUUUUUUGGCUGUUGUUGGCCUGGCGGGGGCGCUCGUUGGCCUGGCGACCCGCCAGGCCUGAACAAUGGUAGGGGAAACACUGGAGCAUGUUGCGUAAAACGCUCGCCUGGGCGAACAAGGAGGUGGAGACUAGGGCCCGACCGAUAUUGAUUUUUGAGUGCCGAUGCCGAUUAUUUUCAUAGAAAAAUUACGAUUGCGAUUUAAUCGGCCGAUUAAAAACAAAACAAAAAAAAGCCUAUAAAACAUAGUUUUUGAUACCUUAAAUAUACUUUAAACAUUUUUGACGAAUAUGUGAAUUGAUUGCAGAACCUUUGAGUGUUUUAGAAUACAUUUACAGUCAAAAAUGAGUGUAAUGUAAAAUGUAAAAUAAAUAACUAACUCCCAAUGUGCUGCGCUCGUGAGCAGUGACUAACACGUACGUGCUGAGCAGUAUGGUCUCACCGUUAGAGUCUACAGUAUAUCAAAUUAACAUGGCCUGGGACCUAAAGAAAAACAGGCACAACAUGCUCAAACAACGCGUCUUGUGUACAUUGGUGAGGUGAGCGCGCAGCUGCCUGAGCGAGCGUGCUUUCAUGUUGUACGGUAAAAUUCAAUCUCCUCUUUUUUACUCCAGCUAAAGUUGUUAGUUAGCAAGGCGAGUAGGAGCGCAAUCUGCAGGAUACUAAGCGCAAUAACAUUUCUAAAAAAAAAUAAAAAAAAAACAGUUGUAAUCUGCGUCUUUUUGGCAGAUGUUGAUUAUUUUCAAAAAGGCUAUAAUCGAAUCGGUCGGGCCCUAGUGGAGACGUUUGUCUGCAUUCUUGGGGAGGAAGACGUUGUUUACGAUGUUUACGUAGCUGCCGCGGCGAUCGACAUCCGGCCUACCACAAAGGGUACUGUCGGCGGUGGAAACGCGACCUCAGAACUGAGCUGGGCUAUACCGCCCCCUCCCUAGCGGACUGAGGCGAACCGAACCGAACCGUACCCUGCAGUGGAAACGCGGCAUAAAAUACCUCCCGUUGCCAAGUCGUAGCUACGGCCCGUCCUAUUUAUGGGAAAGACUUUAUAUUUGGAUUGUAAAACACAUGAAAAUAUAAAUGAAUGACCUUAAUUUCUUUUCUUUGGCAAGUGACCAUGGUAUAAGCGGGAUAAUGACAUUCGAGGUGUCAAAAACAUGUUUGAUCGAUCGUAAUUAAAGGGGACUACUUUUUGAGGGAGAUGAACUCAGAGUAUACAUUUAAUAAGAAUGCAAUACGAAUAAGAAAAAGCAUAAUUAUUAAAGUAUUUGAAUUGUUUUAUUAUGUUGGUAAGCAAAAAAAACAAUAAGUGGGAUAAUCAGUCUUAUUAAAACGGUUUGUGCAACCAACGGCACAGCAAGACAUGAUUGCGGCUCUUGUCGCUCUCGUCUCUUUCUGCCUAUGACAGGCUCGUAGAGCGGGGGAGUGACUAAUGCCGCUUUUGCACCGCACAUGUAGCUCGACUCGACUCGACACGACUCGACACGGCAGCAGCACGGGUCGUUUUUCACCGCAAAUAGUACCUCCUGGACGUGUCGGGGUCGGCUGCGCGAAAGGGCCGUGACGUAUUUUUGUACGCGACGCAAACAACACCUACGCAACCCACACAUGGACAGAACCCACAUAACAACAAUGGAGGACAUCGAUAACAUUACUAUUAUUAGCUGGCAUGUUGAAGAAGUUGAAGAAGUGGAAUAUGUUGGCCGUGGCGCUGCUAUGGCUGCUACCAACAUGGUUGCCAUGUCGCUCUCGUGACUUCGUCACACUCUCUGGCCAAUCAGUGGCCGGCCGUCUGCCGACGUCACCUUUUAGCAUCGGCUCAGCCGCUUGGAACCUAGAGCGAGGCGGUACUAAAAAAAGCAGCCACUUCAGGUACCAGAUACCAUGUUUUCGCGGUGGAAACGCAAAAAAUGCGAGCUGAGUCGAGUCGUGUCGAGCUGGUACCAUGCAGUGGAAAAGCGGCAUUAGACUGAUAAUCCCUCUAUAGAAAGUACACUGGUGUGAAUUUGCACUACGGUAUGGAUUUUGACGUUACCGGGAGACCUGUGUGACCGGUAGACAGCCGUGUUUACAUGGACACUUCUGAUCCGAUUAGAAGUGGAAGAACAGCUCAAUCAGAAUAAAAAAUGAUCAUAUAUACGGCUCAAUCUGAAUAUAAUUCUCUGAUCGGAAUAUAAUUCCAUGCGGAAUAGAAGAGGUGGUGUAGUCCGCUAUAAUCGACAUGUAUACUCUUAUUCAGAUUGGUUUGGGGUGGGUGCGGCAACUUUUUAACUUGGAGAGAUGGCAUCAGCAGCUGCAGUAGCUCGCAAUUGGUCAGUCGGUUCUUUUAUGCAUACCGAACUUGACCGCAAGGAAAGUGGAUUAUUUUUGCCAGAUUCUUAUUACUCCGUAAGUAGUCCGGUAACUUAUCAACCCCAACGCGUCCGGUUUCGAAGCGACAUCAACGUCUUUGGCGGGCUAUUUCUCUGCUGUUUUGGCAUGGAGCCGUGUAAUAAUGUAUAGAACGUCGCUGGACAUCAUCGAAAAUAAUACCCUUCAGGGCGAAGCAAGUCACCUCCGCUUCGCAUCGCGGUCCGGUUCGCCCUGUCGGGGCUUAUUUACCCCAUAAUGACCAGCGUUCUGUAGUACAACAUUAUCCCUUACAUAUAUCGUGGAAGUCCAGACCAACAUAACGGUUGUGCGCGAGAGACAUACGAACGUACGCUUGCCACUUUUGUAAAUGCCAUAGGCCUAUAUACAGUACAUUCAGAUUACAUGAUAGGAAUAGAUCUAUUCAGAUUUAGAAAUCGAAUCGGAUCAGAAGUGUCCAUGGCUAGUGUUGUGUGUAACGCGUUACUACGCGGUACUUUUUCAUGUAAAACCUUUACACUGUAAUAACAAUAUUUAACAAGGUAAUUAUAACUUAACUUCAACACUGCCACAAAAACUCUCUCUCUGGCACUCUCUGUCUGUGUCUACUUUGUGACACAUUGAUUAAAAACUAUGGACGGAGUCCCGUUGGGACAUCUUGUUUAAUCCAACUCCUAUGGUCUCUCUCUUGAAGUUGUGCUGGUAUUAAAAAAGAUAUUAAAAGGUAGUAAAUUGAACUUAAGAAUGUCCGUCCCAACGCUGUAGGAGCAGCUGUCAGUGCCGUCAGUGCCGUCAGUGCCGUCAGUGCCGUCUGUGCCGUCUGUGCCGUCUGUGUUGAUGCCUCAGACAGGUCCGGUCCGAGGGUCAUCUGGCCUCUGCAGAUGAACCCGACCGUAACAACAUGGUGUCUGUCCGCAGGGGCGGAGCAGAACACCGCCUGGACUGAAGAGGACUGGCCUCCCCCUGUCCUCCCCCUCCCCCUCCUGUCCCCCUCCCCC
ensembl:lncRNA